rnacentral:rRNA from 1 species
CAGUAGCCGCGGUAAUACAGAGGGUGCAAGCGUUAAUCGGAAUUACUGGGCGUAAAGCGCGCGUAGGUGGUUUGUUAAGUUGGAUGUGAAAUCCCCGGGCUCAACCUGGGAACUGCAUCCAAAACUGGCAAGCUAGAGUAUGGUAGAGGGUGGUGGAAUUUCCUGUGUAGCGGUGAAAUGCGUAGAUAUAGGAAGGAACACCAGUGGCGAAGGCGACCACCUGGACUGAUACUGACACUGAGGUGCGAAAGCGUGGGGAGCAAACAGGAUUAGAUACCCGAGUAGUCCCUGUCUCUUAUAU